GAUGAACGCUGGCGGCGUGCCUAAUACAUGCAAGUCGAGCGAACAGACGAGGAGCUUGCUCCUCUGACGUUAGCGGCGGACGGGUGAGUAACACGUGGAUAACCUACCUAUAAGACUGGGAUAACUUAGGGAAACCGGAGCUAAUACCGGAUAAUAUAUUGAACCGCAUGGUUCAAUAGUGAAAGACGGUUUUGCUGUCACUUAUAGAUGGAUCCGCGCCGCAUUAGCUAGUUGGUAAGGUAACGGCUUACCAAGGCAACGAUGCGUAGCCGACCUGAGAGGGUGAUCGGCCCCACUGGAACUGAGCCACGGUCCAGACUCCUACGGGAGGCAGCAGUAGGGAAUCUUCCGCAAUGGGCGAAAGCCUGACGGAGCAACGCCGCGUGAGUGAUGAAGGUCUUCGGAUCGUAAAACUCUGUUAUUAGGGAAGAACAAAUGUGUAAGUAACUAUGCACGUCUUGACGGUACCUAAUCAGAAAGCCACGGCUAACUACGUG
rnacentral:rRNA from 1 species